rfam:Dipodomys ordii contig_68771, whole genome shotgun sequence.
GGUGGCUCAGUGGUAGAGUGCUUGCCUUACAUGCAUGAGGUCCAUGGUUCAAUACCUUAGCACCA